rnacentral:antisense_RNA from 1 species
UUUCCUGGAACCUGGUUCCCAAAGCGGCAGUCGUUCCGUGGUCUCCACGGCGGUGCAGCGUCAGCCUCCUCGCUUUUCACGGUCGGCUCGGGCGUCCUUUCGGAAUGCCUUCCUCACUGACGGUGCUUUAUUAGGAUUUCUCUUGUGCUGAAUUGCCUCCUAGCCUCCUGCUAGCAGUGGGGUGCCGCCUCCUCACCGUAAUUAGGCUCCGCCGAGAGCCCUUUCCCUUCUUGCCAGCCCCAGCAGGCUCAGAGUUGGCCGAAGCCAGGCGGGAGGGGACGGCCAUGGGAACCCAGCGGUGUGACCCCUGCCCUCGGCGACGGGGCCAAGGUGAAGGCCAGAGUUGUUGGCCAGACCCACAUGGAACCUCAAGACGCCCCCCUCGUCUCUCUCGCACCCGGAACGUGAGCCCAGCGCCUGGACGUGCGGAAUUCCUAUCUGAGGAGGGGCCCUGGGGUUAGGUGCCCGUGCCUGGGCCCCCGGCAGCCUAAACCACUCCUUUAAGUGGUCCGACGGGUGCGGGGAAAUGUCCCAUCUGGAACCCAGGGAUCCCCCCCAAGAGUGGCUUCCCUCUGCUCUUAGAUGCGAGAAGGAGGUUCUGAUUUUGCGGACACCUAGGAGGUGGCCAGGGCCAGGCAGGCUCUGCCAGGUGCCCUGCCAGCUUCUGGUCCAACGAGGGAACACUUUGGGAUGAGUGUUACAGGCUUGUCGGAACUCCUCUGGUGACGACUUGUGGGUGGAACACACACAAGUGUAGAGUUAUAGCUGAGGUCUUUACCUUUCCGUCUUCCAGGCAGCCUUCUGUGCCCCUGCUCUGAGAACAUGAGAUUCAUCCUUGAUUCUGGCACACGGGUGUUACUUGGUCACAUGAAAUAAAAGGUUACGGGCAUGGUGGCUCACGCCUGUAAUCCCAGCACUUUGGGAGGCCGAGGCGGAUGGAUCACGACGUCAGGAGAGGCAGGCGCCUGUAAUUCCAGCUACUUGGGAGGCUGAGGCAGAGAAUUGCUUGAACCCAGGAGGUGGAGGUUGCAGUGAGCCAGGAUUGCGCCACUGCACUCCAGCCUGAGUGACAGAGCCAGACUCCGUCUCAAAAAAAAAAAAAAAAAAAAAAAGAAACAGGGUCUUGUUCUGUUGCUCAGGCUGGAGUGGAGCGGUGCGAUCACAGCUCACUGCAGCCUCAACCUCCUGGGUCCUGGGCUCAAGCAAUCCUGCCUCUGCUUCCCUAGUAGCUGGGACCUCAGGCACACAUCAGCACACCUGGCCAACUUUUUUUUGUAUGUUUUUGUAGAGAGGAGAUCUCACUAUGUUGCCCAGUUUGGUCUCAAAUUCUUGAGCUCAAGCGAUCCUCCCACCUGAGCCUCCCAAAGCGCUGGGAUUACAAGCAUGAGCCCCUAUGUCUGGCCCUAAUAAACGGUGUUAGACAACGACAGGAGUGCACGUAAGAGAUCAAAACUAGAAUUUGCAUAAUUAGUAUUAUUUAUUAAGCACCCAGGGAACAGUCAAGACCAAAGUCCCUGCCUGUCCUUGGAAAAAUGUCACCUCUAUAGCAGGUGUCCUAACCCUGGAGUUCGCCCACCUUAGUAAGUCCUUGAAUAGCUCUCUGGGGGAAAUCUAUCAGCUGCCCGAAGAGCUUUGUGUGUAUUUGUACACCAGCAUUUUCCUGAGGAAGGAGGUGCCUGGCUUCAUCAGUUUCUCAAAGGGUCUAGGACCUCAAAAGGGAUGAGAAUCCAGAUAUUUGGAUACCCUUUUUUUUUUUUUUUUUUUGGCAGAGGUGGGGUCUCGCUAUGUUACCCAGGCUGAUCUCGAACUCCUGAGCUCAACCAUCCUCCUGCAUUGGCCUCUCAAACAGCUGGGAUUAUAGUCAUGAGCCACAGCGCCCGGCCCUGAUACCUUUACAUCAGCAUUUCCCAACAUACCGUCUCAGGACCACUUACCUGCACCAGAACUACCUGGAAUAUUUAGGAACAGACUCCUGGCCCCCAACCAAACCUCCUGAGUCAGUCUUUCAGGGGUGGGGACUGGGAUAUUUUGUUUUGUACCGACUCCCUAGGUGAUUUUGAUGCUUAGUCAAAUGAGAACCGUUGUUCUGAGCUAACAUAUAACACAGCAAACAACUAUGUCUGUGUCCUCUCCUUGGGAGAGAACCCCUGAAGUAAGUUGCUUUGUCUGUUUCGUGGGGAGGGGGAGUGUUGGAAAUCCCACUGGGAUGUGUCCUUUCCCCCAUAUGUGGCACUAAUUGAGCUGGAAUAUCCAGGGAGAGGCAGCAGUUCUAGGGAUGGGAGCAAGGCCAGCCAGCCUGCCAGAGACACAGGUGUGGUUUUGGUGGGAGAAUGCUAUGACUGAGUUAAUCCUUCCAUACCAGGUUCCACCCCAACUCCACAACAUCCUGUCUGUCUCCCCAGACAAACCAGCCCAGAUCCUCCUGGGCCCCAGAAAGAUGACACAGCUGCCCCCCCACCCCACCCCCAUCUCCUGGCCUGGACCCACUUGGCUUCCUGUCUUGGAAGAUAAUGGUUGAGAUUCCAGGGCAGAAGUAUUUUUAAGGCUCUACCUAAAACGGCCCCACCCCAGCUUCAUUCCUCCUCCAUCUUGUCCCGCACUUCUGCCGGCAGACCCUGGUAAAGGGUGUCUUCCACCAGGAGCCCCGCCUUCUUGAGCCCCCCACAGUUGCCAAGUUCUUCUGGCAGCGCCUCUAAGUGGUUGCCUUUGAGCUCCAGGCGGCUGAGGGCCCUGAGGGCACCCACGUGGGGCGAGAGCUGGCUCAGCUGGUUGUCGCCCAGAAGCAACGUCCGCAGCUUGCGGCAGAAGAAGAGCUCUUCGGGCAGGGCCUCCAGGGCAUUGUAGGAGAGGGCCAGGUGCUGUAGGUUCUGCAGGAGGCCCACCUCGGGUGGCAGGGAGUGUAGCCCGUUGUGGGACACAUCCAGCAGACGGAGGCCUGAGCACAGGCCGAGCUGGGAGGGCAGGGUCUCCAGCUUGUUGUAGCUCAGGUAGAGCUGCUCCAGGCUCCUGAGCUUCCGCACGUGCUCAGGGACGUAGGCUAUCUGGUUGUGCCAUAGCCUGAGCGUGACCAGCUUCCGGCAGUGCUGGAAGCUGAGGAUUUCCUCGAUGGAGCGCAGGUGGUUGUCCUUGAGGUCAAGUUCCUGCAGUGCACCUAGGCUGAACACUGCGUGGGGGAUGCGCUCCAGCCCGCAGGCCACCAGCUCCAGCUCCCGCAAUGCCACCAGCUUCUUGAGGCUGUUCAGGGCAACCAGACGGGCCCCAUCGUUGUGCAGGCUAAGCCUCUGCAGGUGGCCGGCAACGUCGGUCACACUGGCUGGCACCUUCCCGGCGUUGCUCCGGAGGGACAACACCUUGAGCUGCUUCAGCUCCCGGAGGCUCUCCAGGGUGGCCGCCCGAGCUAGCUCCUGGGGGAAAAGCCCCUCCAGGUGCAGCUCUUCCAAGCCCCGCAGCCCAAACACCCAAAGCGGCACCUCACGGAGCUCCUCGCAUUUGACGCGCAUCACCUUCAGGUGGUCCCGCAGGAAGACCUGCAAGGAGAAGGGUAGCCUGGCGGGCGAGUGGAGCAAGCUGAGCUCCUGCAAGUGCACCAGCUGCGACAGCCCCGGGGGGAAGGUGAUAUCGCAGAUGGCCUCCAGCCGGAGUGACUCCACCUCACUGAGCUCAAAGACGGUGUCGGGCAGACCCGGAAGCAUGCAGAGGGCCAGCUCCAGCCGGCCCGUGGCAUUGCGCUGCAGCUUCUGUCGAAGCUUCUCGGGCGUCCACUCAUGGUUGAGAUUGAGCUGCUUUAGACGGCUUUCGCUGACCUCGGACAGGAAGACGGCAAAGCGCUUGGAGUAGAGGGAGUCAUACUGAUCGAUGAGAUGUAGCAUGAAGGCGAAGUCGUUCUUGACGUCAGGAAUGUCCCCCAUGCCAGUCUCCUCCCGCACGGAACGGAAGGAGUACUCCUUGAGGGGCCGGUGGAAGAGCCAGUAGAGCGUGUAGAUGCAGGUAAGUCCGUAGAUGCACACAAAGGAGAUGUAACAGAAGGCCAGCUUGGAGAAGAGGUGGGCCUUGGUGUGGUUGCAGCAGAAGCUGGCGUAGCCCGUGACCUCUGACGUCUCCACCCUACAGGCCACCAGGAAACUGAUCUUCUCCACAUAGACCAGGUUGUAGACCAGGAUGGCCAGGAACUUACACACUUUCAGCACCGUCUGUCGGAUGUACAUGGUGUACAGGAUGUCGCCCUCUUCCACGUGCACGCGGAACUUCUUCACCUUCUCAAACAGGGCUUUGGCUUGCUCACCCUCCUUUUUGUCCAGCAGGGUGACAACUGGAGGCUCGGUCACCACCUUCUCCGGUUCCGCCAGCACUUUCUCCUUCUCACCCUCCCCUGCCUUCCCCAGCCCGGCCCCUGCCGUGGCCACUAUGGCGGCCGCGGCCCGUCCGGUGGCUGCUGGGCCCUUCUGGUUCUCCCCGGAGACCUCGGAUAGGGCCCUGGUGGUCCAUGGAGAGUCGAAACACUUGCCCAGGAUGGAGAUGAAGUGUUCAAUCUUGGAGCUGGUGCCAGGGAACUUGAACCAGAAACUGGUGCAGACCAUGAAGAUGAGCGUGUGAAUGACCACGAGGUAGGGGAAGUACUUGGCAUACCAGUGCAGGGCCGUCUCGUAGCACAGCUGGUUAAUAAAGCUGUAUUGCUGCAGGUCC